rnacentral:ncRNA from 2 species
CACGAGAUGCGGCGCCAAGCUCCGACUGGCCGCACACCAACCCCAAGGCGUUUUCGGGGUGGCUCGGAUGACG